rnacentral:rRNA from 1 species
CCUACGGGAGGCAGCAGUGAGGAAUAUUGGUCAAUGGUCGGAAGGCUGAACCAGCCAUGCCGCGUGAAGGUUAGUGCUCUAUGGGCGUUAAACUUUCUUUGUGCGGGAGCAAUAAUGGUCACGUGUGGCCAGACGAGAGUACCGUACGAAUAAGCAUUGGCUAACCCCGUGCCAACCGCCGCGGGAAAACGGGGGAUGCAAGCGUUGUCCGGUUUUUUUGGGGUUUAAGGGUGCGUAGGCUGUGUGGUAAGUUCGCGGGGAAAUGCCCGCGCUCAACGGGGUGAAGUGCCAUUGAUACUGGCAGGCUGGAGUGCGGAUGCGGUAGGAGGAAUGUGUGGUGUAGCGGUGAAAUGCAUAGAUAUCACACAGAACACCGAUUGCGAAGGCAUCUCACGAAUCCGCGAUUGACGCUGAUGCACGAAAGCGUGGGUAUCAAACAGGAUUAGAUACCCGAGUAGUC